CGCCAGCAGCCGCGGUAAUACGUAGGGUGCAAGCGUUAAUCGGAAUUACUGGGCGUAAAGCGUGCGCAGGCGGUUUCGUAAGUCUGUCGUGAAAUCCCCGGGCUUAACCUGGGAAUGGCGAUGGAGACUGCGAGGCUAGAGUUUGGCAGAGGGGGGUAGAAUUCCACGUGUAGCAGUGAAAUGCGUAGAGAUGUGGAGGAACACCGAUGGCGAAGGCAGCCCCCUGGGUCAAAACUGACGCUCAUGCACGAAAGCGUGGGGAGCAAACAGGAUUAGAUACCCUGGUAGUCCACGCCCUAAACGAUGUCUACUAGUUGUUGGGUCUUAAUUGACUUAGUAACGCAGCUAACGCGUGAAGUAGACCGCCUGGGGAGUACGGUCGCAAGAUUAAAACUUAAAGGAAUUGGCGGGGGAC
rnacentral:rRNA from 1 species